CAAUAGCGUAUAUUAACGUUGUUGCAGUUAAAAAGCUCGUAGUUGGAUUUCUGGAGGGAGCGUCGGCCCGUAUUUACGAGUGCGUGACGUCUCUGUCCAUCCUUGCGGGAAGUCACGGCAUUGAUUUGUUGUGUCGGAUCGCAUCAUUUACUGUGAAAAAAUUAGAGUGUUCAAAGCAGGCUUUCGCUUGAAUACAUUAGCAUGGAAUAAUAAGAUAGGACUUUGGUGCUAUUUUGUUGGUUGAGCCUAAAGUAAUGAUUAAUAGGGAUAGUUGGGGGCACCUGUAUUGCGUUGUCAGAGGUGAAAUUCUUGGAUUUACGCAAGACAAACAGCUGCGAAAGCGUCUGCCAAGGAUGUUUNCAUUA
rnacentral:rRNA from 1 species